rnacentral:misc_RNA from 1 species
UUAUAUGGUGUGUCCAACCAUACAAGAACCAUCUUUUCUCCUUCUUGAAGAAUCAACUUGCGGAAAGAUUGAAAGGUAAACAACAUACACAUUUUUGAAAGUUGUUCAUCAAUGCCUCCACUUCCUAAAAGGGAAGAGAUCAGAACAGCUAUACACGUGGAAAAGAAGAAAGUAGCCCCAAUAGCCAAAGAACACACAAGCUCCAAACGCGACUUGUGACAAGGCAAAUGCGAUUGCUUUCUCCAUGCCAGGUAGAUUUACAAUGAGGAUGUAAGUAGUUAUACAACGUGAAAGGGUAGCUACACUUUCAACUACCAGACGCAACUUGAGGAGAAGCAAAUUCUGAGAUAAGAUGUAAA